rnacentral:sRNA from 1 species
GGAAGCCGAAUCCAGCCCAGGAGCGGGGGAACCAAAUGAUUUUGGGGUGAACGCUUUCACCGGGGCGCCGAAACGCAACGGUGAGAGCGCGGGUGGUCUUCUCUACCCGAACCCGGCAGCUAACCUCGUAGGCGAAUAGAGAGAGGA